rnacentral:tRNA from 7 species
GCCUUUAUAGCUCAGUCGGGAGAGCGCCAGACUGAAGAUCUGGUUGUCGCCGGUUCAAUUCCGGCUGAAGGCA